ACAAUAUGACGCCGUUAAUUUUUUAUUCAAUGUUUGACCAUUCGUUUUAUUUAAAAAAUUUAUGUAAUUAUCAUUUAUUUUAUUGUGACUUGAUUCAUCAUUAAAUGUUCUUUAAGCAUGACAUAAAUAUUUUCAUAUUUACACAAAAAAUUUGAAUAAAAUGAAUGGUCAAACGUUGGUUAAAAAGUCAACGGCAUCAUACAUU
rnacentral:pre_miRNA from 1 species